UCACUUACAGAUGGACCCGCGGCGCAUUAGCUAGUUGGUGGGGUAAUGGCUCACCAAGGCGACGAUGCGUAGCCGACCUGAGAGGGUGAUCGGCCACACUGGGACUGAGACACGGCCCAGACUCCUACGGGAGGCAGCAGUAGGGAAUCUUCCGCAAUGGACGAAAGUCUGACGGAGCAACGCCGCGUGAGUGAUGAAGGUUUUCGGAUCGUAAAGCUCUGUUGUUAGGGAAGAACAAGUGCGAGAGUAACUGCUCGCACCUUGACGGUACCUAACCAGAAAGCCACGGCUAACUACGUGCCAGCAGCCGCGGUAAUACGUAGGUGGCAAGCGUUGUCCGGAAUUAUUGGGCGUAAAGGGCUCGCAGGCGGUUUCUUAAGUCUGAUGUGAAAGCCCCCGGCUCAACCGGGGAGGGUCAUUGGAAACUGGGAAACUUGAGUGCAGAAGAGGAGAGUGGAAUUCCACGUGUAGCGGUGAAAUGCGUAGAGAUGUGGAGGAACACCAGUGGCGAAGGCGACUCUCUGGUCUGUAACUGACGCUGAGGAGCGAAAGCGUGGGGAGCGAACAGGAUUAGAUACCCUGGUAGUCCACGCCGUAAACGAUGAGUGCUAAGUGUUAGGGGGUUUCCGCCCCUUAGUGCUGCAGCUAACGCAUUAAGCACUCCGCCUGGGGAGUACGGUCGCAAGACUGAAACUCAAAGGAAUUGACGGGGGCCCGCACAAGCGGUGGAGCAUGUGGUUUAAUUCGAAGCAACGCGAAGAACCUUACCAGGUCUUGACAUCCUCUGACAACCCUAGAGAUAGGGCUUUCCCUUCGGGGACAGAGUGACAGGUGGUGCAUGGUUGUCGUCAGCUCGUGUCGUGAGAUGUUGGGUUAAGUCCCGCAACGAGCGCAACCCUUGAUCUUAGUUGCCAGCAUUCAGUUGGGCACUCUAAGGUGACUGCCGGUGACAAACCGGAGGAAGGUGGGGAUGACGUCAAAUCAUCAUGCCCCUUAUGACCUGGGCUACACACGUGCUACAAUGGACAGAACAAAGGGCUGCAAGACCGCAAGGUUUAGCCAAUCCCAUAAAUCUGUUCUCAGUUCGGAUCGCAGUCUGCAACUCGACUGCGUGAAGCUGGAAUCGCUAGUAAUCGCGGAUCAGCAUGCCGCGGUGAAU
rnacentral:rRNA from 1 species